rnacentral:rRNA from 1 species
UACGGGGGGAGCAAGCGUUGUUCGGAUUUACUGGGCGUAAAGGGCGCGUAGGCGGUCGUGACAAGUCACUUGUGAAAUCUCCGGGCUUAACUCGGAAAGGUCAAGUGAUACUGUCGGACUAGAGUACAGAAGGGGCAACUGGAAUUCUCGGUGUAGCGGUGAAAUGCUUAGAUAUGACAUAGAACACCAAUUGCGCAGGCAGCUUACUACACAGUAAUUGACACUGAGGCACGAAAGCGUGGGGAUCAAACAGG